GACGAACGCUGGCGGCGUGCUUAACACAUGCAAGUCGAACGGAAAGGCCCCUUUGGGGGUACUCGAGUGGCGAACGGGUGAGUAACACGUGAGUAACCUGCCCUUGACUUCGUGAUAACUUCAGGUAACUGGGGCUAAUACCGGAUAGGAAUCCUUGCUGCAUGGUUGGGGUUGGAGAGCGUCGGCGGUUGUGGAUGGACUCGCGGCUUAUCAGCUUGUUGUUGGGGUAGUGGCUUACCAAGGCUUUGACGGGUAGCCGGCCUGAGAGGGCGACCGGCCACAUUGGGACUGAGAUCCGGCCCAGACUCCUACGGGAGGCAGCAGUGGGGAAUAUUGCACAAUGGGCGGAAGCCUGAUGCAGCAACGCGGCGGGCGGGAUGACGGCCUUCGGGUUGUAAACCGCUUUCAGCAGGGGCGAAGCUUGUGGUGACGGUACCUGCAGAAGAAGCACCGGCUAACUACGUG
rnacentral:rRNA from 1 species